rnacentral:rRNA from 1 species
AUUGAACGCUGGCGGCAUGCCUUACACAUGCAAGUCGAACGGCAGCACGGGGGCAACCCUGGUGGCGAGUGGCGAACGGGUGAGUAAUACAUCGGAACGUGUCCGGUCGUGGGGGAUAACCAGUCGAAAGAUUGGCUAAUACCGCAUGAGCUCGAAAGAGGAAAGCGGGGGACCCGCAAGGGCCUCGCGCGACUCGAGCGGCCGAUGUCGGAUUAGCUUGUUGGCGGGGAAAAGCCCACCAAGGCGACGAUCCGUAGCUGGUUUGAGAGAACGACCAGCCACACUGGGACUGAGACACGGCCCAGACUCCUACGGGAGGCAGCAGUGGGGAAUAUUGGACAAGUGGGGGAAACCCUGAUCCAGCGACGCCGCGUGUGUGAAGAAGGCCUGCGGGUU